rnacentral:rRNA from 1 species
AGAGUUUGAUCCUGGCUCAGGAUGAACGCUAGCGGCGGGCUUAAUACAUGCAAGUCAAGGGGUAGCAAUACACCGGCGUACGGGUGCGUAACGCGUAUGGAACCUGCCCUUAUCUGGGGGAUAACUCGGGGAAACUCGAGCUAAUACCGCAUAAGAUAGUAGAAUGGCAUCAUUCAGCUAUUAAAGAUUUAUUGGAUAAGGAUGGCCAUGCGUAAGAUUAGAUAGUUGGCGAGGUAACGGCUCACCAAGUCUACGAUCUUUAGGGGCUCUGAGAGGAGAAUCCCCCACACUGGCACUGAGAUACGGGCCAGACUCCUACGGGAGGCAGCAGUAGGGAAUAUUGGGCAAUGGGCGGAAGCCUGACCCAGCCACGCCGCGUGCAGGAAGACGGCCCUCUGGGUUGUAAACUGCUUUUAACUGGGAAGAAAAGAGGCCUUGCGAGGCAAGUUGACGGUACCAGUUGAAUAAGCCACGGCUAACUACGUGCCAGCAGCCGCGGUAAUACGUAGGUGGCGAGCGUUAUCCGGAUUUAUUGGGUUUAAAGGGAGCGUANGCGGCUGAUUAAGUCAGCGGUGAAAGGUAGCAG